GGAGUAGUGUGCAGGUUAAUUUAUUGACUUCAUAAGGUCCCAGGCUGAGACCAACGAAGCCUGGAGCCAGCUUGCAGUUCCACUGCAAUGGACUCACGAGCUGUGGGUGGCCAUGAACAAGGUCAUUCCGGUGACUGAGCUGUGCACCUGAGAGAGUGAGAUGGGCGUGACUUUAAAAAGGAUUCAGAGAAAGCAGGAAGCGGGCAGAGACAGAAUGCAUGGAGUGGGCGAAGAAGCAGGAAGCAGCGAUUUAAAACAGGGAGAGCACCGACCACAGGACCCACGCCAGAGCCACCAGUGAAUGGAGAAGCCAAUGCAGUGGCUGCCAUCUUGCCCUCCGAUGGCUCAAGUUCGCUGCUGCUCGCCUCUUAACUGGAGCACGUAAGAGGGAGCACAUUACUCCCGCUCUGGCCUUCCUCCACUGGCUGCCUGUGCACUUUUGAGUUCAUUUUAAGAUUCUAUUAUUUGUUUUUAAAUCUUUAAAUGGCCUCGCUCCGCCUUACCUCUCUGAGCUGCUCCAACUCCAUGCUCCUGCCCGGUGCCUCAGAUCAGCUGACCAGCUGCUCCUGGAGGUACCACGGUCUAAGCGGAAGCUCAGAGGGGAAAGAGCUUUUUCUACUGCCGGUCCCAAACUAUGGAAUGUCCUCCCACUGCACAUCAGACAAACCCCCUCACUGUCACAUUUUUAAAAGUCAUCUUAAAACCCAUUUUUUUUCUUUGGCAUUCAA